UCUGCCACUAGAAGCAUUGCACAUGUGGCUGCUGUGUCAUGUGUGCAGCAGUGGGAGGCUGAGAGGAGAGAGGCUUUGUCUCUGUUCAGUGUUCUGACCGAUAAACCUCUGAAUGAUUAGCAGUUUAACAGU